rnacentral:rRNA from 1 species
ACGAACGCUGGCGGCGUGCUUAACACAUGCAAGUCGAACGGAAAGGCCCCUUUGGGGGUACUCGAGUGGCGAACGGGUGAGUAACACGUGAGUAACCUGCCCUUGACUUCGGGAUAACUUCAGGAAACUGGGGCUAAUACCGGAUAGGAAUCCUUGCUGCAUGGUAGGGGUUGGAAAGCUUCGGCGGUUUUGGAUGGACUCGCGGCUUAUCAGCUUGUUGGUGGGGUAGUGGCUUACCAAGGCUUUGACGGGUAGCCGGCCUGAGAGGGCGACCGGCCACAUUGGGACUGAGAUACGGCCCAGACUCCUACGGGAGGCAGCAGUGGGGAAUAUUGCACAAUGGGCGGAAGCCUGAUGCAGCAACGCCGCGUGCGGGAUGACGGCCUUCGGGUUGUAAACCGCUUUCAGCAGGGGCGAAGCUUGUGGUGACGGUACCUGCAGAGGAAGCACCGGCUAACUACGUG